rnacentral:ncRNA from 2 species
AUCUUAUUAAGAGGAAGCAGAGGGACUGGCCCGAUGAAGCUUCAGCAACCCCACGUAAGUGGAAGGUGCUAAUGCCUGCAGGAGAAUAUCCUGGCUGAUAAGAG